rnacentral:miRNA from 1 species
GCUGGGGAGGGCUUCGGAGCUCCUU